AGCAAAUUGCAACUCUAAUCUCACACUUGGCUUGGUUAGCAUGCACUUUGUAUUUCACCCCAAUUUUUUUGUUGUUGUUUUUUAACCUUUCCUUACUCAGCUUUAGGCCAGAACGUCCAGAUUCAAAGUUUUGGCACUGUCUUUGAGAGUCCUAUUUUCCCAGGGGAAACACAGCAGGAAAAUGUAAGUUGCCUUACCUAACAAAUCCUUCCAGUCAUGUACAACCUCAGAAGGGCAAACCAGUCUUCAUCAACAUGUUUUUGCUGUCUGGUGAAGUAUAAAAAGCGUGAAGCAGAAAGGCAGAUUGGAACACCUGUGGCUAUUAUGAAAACCACGCCACUUCCCAGCCUUGCGUGUUUUCUGCUCAGAAAGUAUGCACCUGUCAGCCACAGCUGAAAACCCAGCAAUCGAGGGCCCAGAGCUAGGGCUCAGAUGAGUUGACUGAGGAAUUAGAAGGAUUUCAAAAUAAGCCUAUUAAUUCUGUUGGAUUGAAAUAUCUUCCAUCUUCACACAGCCAAAGAUAGCUGAACUUUUGUUUGACAUUUUACACAGUGUCUUAUGCCUGCCUGAAAGAAAGGGUGCAGGUCUUCACAGAAUGGGGAAAGUCCAGAGAUGAUCUGGACUCCAAAGACAACAGCUUGGAUUCUGAGCUGUCACUUACCAGCCAAAAGGGAAUCCUGGCCCGGUCACUGAAGUUCCCUGAGUCUCAACUACCUUAUCUGUAAAAGGGUCUCAUCAGGCCCACAUUAGAUUAUCUAUUCGACCAUCAGUUCGAGCUCCAAGGUAAAGAUAUAGCGCAACCGGAACUUUCAUACACUGCUGCAACCACUGUGGAGACUAUCAGCUUUUUCCACUAAAGCUGAACAUUAUCGUCUAGAAAUUGCACUCCCAAGCAGGAUGAGACAGCAUCCACACGAAAAUAAUCCUCUACAGACUCUCCAAGCAUGUCCGCUGUAGGCAGGAGUUAUCCUACAACCUUCCCAUCCUGGGAGGAGAGGUAACACCCACCCACCCCAUUCCAUUCUGGCCUGCCCCCUCCUCUGGCGGCAGCGCCAGUCUCAGGUGAGAGCCACCCUGCUUGUUGCCAUUGUUCUGCAAGUGACAGCCUCGGGGGCAAAUGGAAAGCCGUCAACCUGAGGGCUGUCAACGGCAGACAAGAAUUCCUUUCUUUGUCAGGCUGGGUGGUCUUCGUGGCUUCAGCAUCAACCUGUGCAAAGAUGAUAAACAUCGUGUGUGCUUGCAGGAAAACAUCGCCACCACCCAACAACUCUAACCACACUCCUUUGUGAGGCCAAGAUUAGCCUGUAUGUGGCUUCCCUUGACUGUGUACAAAUCAUCAAGUCCCAGCCCCAGUGAGGGCAUCCAGAGGUCAUUUAUUCCAUGUCCCCCCAUGUAGUCCUCCGACCUGCUGCCUCAUGACAUUUAUUUGUACCAGAAUCUUAAUCGUAGACAGUUGGAUGAUCCCUUAGAGAUCUCCUGGUUCAACGCUCUCAGGCUACAAGAGGGGGUCCAGACACAGGCUGUGACUUGUCCAAGGUCACACAGCACAAGGACUAGGGCAGGGCAAGAACCCAUGUCCUGCAAGCCUUCCCCUUUCGAGUAUCCUUCCCACUACUCCAAGCUGCUUUUGUUAAUGUCACCCUCACCCCCAAGGUGCCAUGUAGUGUAAUUUCUAACUUUCCAAUAAAAAAGGAGUGUGUGUGUG